AUUGAACGCUGGCGGCAUGCCUUACACAUGCAAGUCGAACGGUAACGGGCCUUCGGGUGCCGACGAGUGGCGAACGGGGGAGUAAUACAUCGGAACGUGCCCGAUCGUGGGGGAUAACGAGGCGAAAGCUUUGCUAAUACCGCAUACGAUCUACGGAUGAAAGCAGGGGACCGCAAGGCCUUGCGCGGACGGAGCGGCCGAUGGCAGAUUAGGUAGUUGGUGGGAUAAAAGCUUACCAAGCCGACGAUCUGUAGCUGGUCUGAGAGGAUGAUCAGCCACACUGGGACUGAGACACGGCCCAGACUCCUACGGGAGGCAGCAGUGGGGAAUUUUGGACAAUGGGCGCAAGCCUGAUCCAGCCAUGCCGCGUGCAGGAUGAAGGCCUUCGGGUUGUAAACUGCUUUUGUACGGAACGAAAAGCCUUCUUUUAAUACAGGAGGGUCAUGACGGUACCGUAAGAAUAAGCUCCGGCUAACUACGUG
rnacentral:rRNA from 1 species